rnacentral:rRNA from 1 species
CCAUAGUAUAUGUUAUUCGCAUGUUUGACAUAUUAAAGUUCCAACGGUAAAAGAUGAGCAUGCGUCCCUUUAGUUAGUUGGUAAGGUAACGGCUUACCAAGACGAUGAUGGGUAGGGGUCCUGAGAGGGAGAUCCCCCACACUGGUACUGAGACACGGACCAGACUCCUACGGGAGGCAGCAGUGAGGAAUAUUGGACAAUGGGCGCAAGCCUGAUCCAGCCAUGCCGCGUGCAGGAAGACGGUCCUAUGGAUUGUAAACUGCUUUUGUACGGGAAGAAACACUCCUACGUGUAGGAGCUUGACGGUACCGUAAGAAUAAGGAUCGGCUAACUCCGUGCCAGCAGCCGCGGUAAUACGGAGGAUCCAAGCGUUAUCCGGAAUCAUUGGGUUUAAAGGGUCCGUAGGCGGUUUAGUAAGUCAGUGGUGAAAGCCCAUCGCUCAACGAUGGAACGGCCGUUGAUACUGCUAGACUUGAAUUACUAGGAAGUAACUAGAAUAUGUAGUGUAGCGGUGAAAUGCUUAGAUAUUACAUGGAAUACCAAUUGCGAAGGCAGGUUACUACUAGUGGAUUGACGCUGAUGGACGAAAGCGUGGGGAGCGAACAGGAUUAGAUACCCUGGUAGUCCACGCCGUAAACGAUGGAUACUAGCUGUUGGGGGCAACUUCAGUGGCUAAGCGAAAG